AAUCAAUACAACUUUCAACAACGGAUCUCUUGGCUCUCGCAUCGAUGAAGAACGCAGCGAAAUGCGAUACGUAAUGUGAAUUGCAGAAUUCAGUGAAUCAUCGAAUCUUUGAACGCACCUUGCGCCCCUUGGUAUUCCGAGGGGCACACCCGUUUGAG
rnacentral:rRNA from 1 species